rnacentral:lncRNA from 1 species
UACAACUUGGUGCCAGACUCCUAAGCUACCUCCCAAAGAGACGAGGAUAGAAGGAACCAUCCAUCUUGAGGUUCACAUUCCAAAGAGAAGUCUCUGAGGCCUUCAAGAAGGACAUUCUGGGAAGUGAAAGUGCUCUUCAGGCUAGAAGGUGAAUAAAGCAUGGAGCCAUCUUAUGAGGACCUCAUCUUGCAUCACAGCAUGGUGGGGAGGAAGCAGCUUUGUGCAAAGAGGAAUAUGUGUGCAAGACAGAGAAGCAUGAGGAGAGACCUGUCUUUGUAACAACCUACUCUCAUGAGACACCAACCACGGCCUCACUCUGUGCUCUUGGGUGUCAGGAGGUACACCAAAAUAGUAUCAGACCUGCAC